GUCUAUAUGAAGUUAUAUAUAGUCUAGCCUGCUCACUGAAUAAUUAAAGAGCCUCAGUAUAUUAACUGUUCGAAGGUAGCAUAAUAAUUAGUUUUUUAAUUGAAAGCUUGAAUGAAUGGCUGUACGAGGAAAAAUCUGUUUCUAAUUUUAGUUUAAAAUUUUACUUUUAAGUAAAAAGGCUUAAAUAAAUUUAAGGGACGAUAAGACCCUAUAAAUCUUCAUAAGUGUGCGUUUCUGAGAUUUUAAUACAAACGUUUAUUAUCUCAAAAUUAAAGCUUAUUUUGUUGGGGCGACAAGAAUAUUUUAUAAAAAAAACUAUGCUAAAAUUAAACAUAAAUAUUUGAAAAACUAAUAGACCCUUAAAAUAAUAAAGAGUUGAAAAUUAAGUUACUUUAGGGAUAACAGCGUAAUUUUUUUAGAGAGUUCUUAUCGAAAAAAAAGUUUGCGACCUCGAUGUUGAAUUAAAAUUUCUUAUUAGUGCAGAAGCUAAACAAGUAAGUCUGUUCGACUUUUAAAAUUUU
rnacentral:rRNA from 1 species